CGGUUAUAGAAAUAACGUGAUAUUUAUUUAUGAUUUCCGAGUGCUCAAACGUAUAACUUUUGGCUCUUUGGUCAUGGUGUUGUGUCUUUGACACAUUUCUGAUUUUUUUUUUCUCAAUUUGACUUUAAAAACAACCCACAUUGAUCACAAGGUUGGAUGCCAAAAUAUCAAAAUUAAAAGCAUAAAAGUACGUAAGACCAUAACAGAACGCAAAAAAAAAAAAAAAAAAUCCCACUGCGGUUGAACUUUCAAUCUUAGGCCGCAUUUAUUUCUAACCAAAAUUUUGCAAACGUUUUGUCGCGUUUGUUGUUGUUUUCCAAACGCUACGAAAGUAGAAACAAAUACAUCGUUUAAUAAGUUUUAACUGAUCCUGUUUGAACUUUUUAAAUUAAUGCAUGCACAUUUGGUGGUAAACAGAAUUUUUACAAACGUA
rnacentral:lncRNA from 1 species